rnacentral:rRNA from 1 species
UACGUAGGGGGCAAGCGUUAUCCGGAUUCACUGGGUGUAAAGGGAGCGUAGACGGCCAUGCAAGCCUGGAGUGAAAGCCCGGGGCCCUACCCCGGGACUGCUCUGGGAACUGUGCGGCUGGAGUGCGGGAGGGGCAGGCGGAAUUCCUGGUGUAGCGGUGAAAUGCGUAGAUAUCAGGAGGAACACCGGCGGCGAAGGCGGCCUGCUGGACCGCGACUGACGUUGAGGCUCGAAAGCGUGGGGAGCAAACAGG